CCUGGCUGAUCUNUCCUCCUAAUCGAGCGCACGGAUUCGGUCGGGUCUUUCCUUCUGGGGAACCCCAUGCCCUUCACUGGGUGUGGCGGGGAACCAGGACUUUUACCUUGAAAAAAUUAGAGUGUUCAAAGCAGGCCUUUGCUCGAAUACAUUAGCAUGGAAUAAUAGAAUAGGACAUCGGUUCUAUUUUGUUGGUUUCUAGGACCGCUGUAAUGAUUAAUAGGGAUAGUCGGGGGCGUCAGUAUUCAAUUGUCAGAGGUGAAAUUCUUGGAUUUAUUGAAGACUAACUACUGCGAAAGCAUUCGCCAAGGAUGUUUUCAUUAAUCAGUGAACGAAAGUUAGGGGAUCGAAGACGAUCAGAUACCGUCGUAGUCUUAACCAUAAACUAUGCCGACUAGGGAUCGGACGGUGGUUUUUUUAUGCCCCGUUCGGCACCUUACGAGAAAUCAAAGUGUUUGGGCUCG
rnacentral:rRNA from 1 species